AACGGCCAUACCAUGUUGAAAAUCACCGGUUUUCGUCCUAUCACCGAAUUUAAAUAUCGUUGAGAGUGGUCAGUACUCGGAAAGAUGACCAUUUGCGAACACCACGGGCCGUUG